CGACCUGCAGCGAGCAGCCCGAAAGGCACACGGAGCGAGGGCCGGGAGCUGGAUGGUGCUGUGGAGGCCUGAGGCGAGGGCUGAGCCUGCCCCUCCCUUGGCCGCCUUCGGCGAGCUUCGGCUCGGCUCUCCGCGUUGGGAGAAGCGAUGAGUCAGGUUUUCUCGGCUCCAUGCUAAUGCACGGAGAUGGAGGGUGUCAUCAGCAGAGCGGCAGGGCCGCGAUCUGCGGCGGAAGGCAGCCGGGCUACACGCCUCCUCUGCGCCUCGGAGCAGCGCUGAGGUUCCUGGUCCGCGUGCUCUUCCAGCCCCAGCGGUGUGCGUGCAGGCUUUGGCGUCUGUGUGUGAAACGCCGCGUGGCGUCAUUCUGAUGUUGAAAGAUUACGAUGUGAAUCCCAUGAGCAAAUGAACCCAGGAUUUGAGGUGUGCACAACUGCUGACUCAUCAGGAUUUUGUCACUUCCCUGAAGAUGUUGCUGGCUGUUGGCUUCAGAUCUCAGGUUGUCAGUGCAAGCAGGGUUUUCUCAGAAGGUACCCACAAGAAGCAAUUAGAUGUGUGAGCAAAGGCAGUCAGCACAUGGGAUCCUCCCCAGCAAAACAGGCUCAGCGCUGAAGGCUUGUCUGCAUGGCAUGUUUCUUCUUUCAUCAAACACCAGCAAAAUGCCAGGAACAUUCCUGGACAGGAGAAAUCUUGAAUUCUGCAAUUCAGCCUUAAAGAAACACUCCUCUGGGGAUCUGCCCGACUGCCUGACGGAAAAGAGUGACUCCUGUAAGCAGAUCUGCCUUCGAAGACUGACCUAUUUCAGCCCAGCUCUGCAGAACGCACAAGCUCUAUUUAUGAUGCUGCAGGAAGGGGAAGGCAGGAUGCAAGCAAUGCACCUUGUUCUGCUGGGAAAGAGCCAGCAGCCCCAGCUCCAGCAGUGGAGCCCCGCAUCAGGAGAUGGUGGGACCUGGCUCCUGUUUGGGCAAUUAAAUGAGUAACAUCAUCACAUCUGACUGAACCUCAGGCAUGUAGACCUGGCUACUUACUCUUGCUGCAGAAGCAUUUAUAUUGACACAGAUUCAGGAAGAUGCUGGGCAGCAGAAUCAGGGAAACAAUUGUUUUAUAAGCAGACGGAUGCCUUCAUACAGCACAACAGUGUGAUCUGCAAAGGAUCUACAAUCCAUAACAGGAUUGUAAUCCACAGCAAAGUCACAUCUUGAGAAUUUUAUUCAUCCUCAUUUCUUUUAAAGUGUCUUUUUACAGGGAGAAAUAACUUCUUUUUGUUAUGCUGUAUUGCUCUUGAAGCUUAACCUUCCUCUUGCUGGGCUCUAUAAAUCAUGGAUUUUCUUAUAAACAGACUACAGAUCCGCUCACAUCUUUGUAUUAUUUGGCUUCUUCAUUCCAGAAACAGUAUGGGCCAAAUUCUU